UUCUAAAAUAGUUGGGAUCCUUGCC
rnacentral:piRNA from 1 species